GAGGCGGUAGCUCAGUUGGUUAGAGCCCCGAACUCAUAAUUCGGUCGUCGUCGGUUCGAGCCCGACCCGCCUCACGA
rnacentral:tRNA from 1 species